rnacentral:rRNA from 1 species
AACGAACGCUGGCGGCAGGCCUAACACAUGCAAGUCGAGCGGGCGUAGCAAUACGUCAGCGGCAGACGGGUGAGUAACACGUGGGAACGUACCUUUUAGUUCGGAAUAACUCAGGGAAACUUGGGCUAAUACCGGAUACGCCCUUUGGGGGAAAGAUUUAUCGCUAAAAGAUCGGCCCGCGUCUGAUUAGCUAGUUGGUGUGGUAAUGGCGCACCAAGGCGACGAUCAGUAGCUGGUCUGAGAGGAUGAUCAGCCACACUGGGACUGAGACACGGCCCAGACUCCUACGGGAGGCAGCAGUGGGGAAUAUUGGACAAUGGGCGCAAGCCUGAUCCAGCCAUGCCGCGUGAGUGAUGAAGGCCCUAGGGUUGUAAAACUCUUUCGGCGGGGACGAUAAUGACGGUACCCGCAGAAGAAGCUCCGGCUAACUUCGUGCCAGCAGCCGCCGUAAAAC